rnacentral:rRNA from 1 species
GAAAGCCUGACGGAGCGACGCCGCGUGACUGAUGAAGUUCUUCGGGAUGUAAAGGUCUUUUAUGUGGGAGAAAGUUUAUUGAUAGUACCACAUGAAUAAGGGGUUGCUAAACUCGUGCCAGCAGCAGCGGUAAUACGAGUGCCCCAAGCGUUAUCCGGAAUCAUUGGGCGUAAAGGGUGUGUAGGCGGUUGUGUUAGUCUUGUGUCAAAUUCUUCGGCUUAACCGGGGUAUCGCACGGGAAACGGCACAACUAGAGGAUGCGAGGGGUGAGUGGAACUCAUGGAGUAGGGGUGAAAUCCGUUGAUAUCAUGGGGAACACCGAAAGCGAAGGCAGCUCACUGGCGCACUCCUGACGCUGAAACACGAAAGCGUA